rnacentral:rRNA from 1 species
GUGAGGAAUAUUGCGCAAUGGAGGCAACUCUGACGCAGCCAUGCCGCGUGCAGGAAGAAGGCGCUACGCGUUGUAAACUGCUUUUAACCGGGAAGAAACCCCAGGACGUGUCCUGGGUUGACGGUACCGGAGGAAUAAGCACCGGCUAACUUCGUGCCAGCAGCCGCGGUAAUACGAAGGGUGCAAGCGUUAUCCGGAUUCAUUGGGUUUAAAGGGUGCGUAGGCGGAGCGUUAAGUCAGUGGUGAAAUCCUGCAGCUUAACUGUAGACUUGCCAUUGAUACUGGCGCUCUUGAGUGCGCUUGAAGUGGGCGGAAUGUGCCGUGUAGCGGUGAAAUGCUUAGAUAUGGCACAGAACACCAAUUGUGAAGGCAGCUCACUAAGGCGAUACUGACGCUGAGGCACGAAAGCGUGGGGAUCGAACAGGAUUAGAUACCCUGGUAGUCC